GUUGGUAGAGCGUCAGUCUCAUAAUCUGAAGGUCGCCAGUUCGAUCCUGGCAGGGAGCA
rfam:Albugo candida, Ac Nc2, WGS project CAIX01000000 data, contig: AcNc2_CONTIG_40_length_124982